UUAACCUUUUGAGGCAUAAUAUAGACUUAGAUAAAACAGUAAAACCCAAUAAAUAUAUAGCCAAUAGAUACAACUAGAAACUGCAAAGAGGAAUACCACAAAUGUCAUAGCUAAGCCUACUACUUUUCAAAUAGACAACAUGCAAACAAAAUACAUAGUUUGAGAAAUUGUUGAAGUAUUCAUCACCCAAAAUAGCAAAGUUGAUGGAAGCUGAUGGUGACAGUUCAAAAUGGUCUUAAGAUGCCAAAACCAUAAACAAACAAAAUCAUGUAAUGAAAGGAAGAUAAAGAUCUAGGAAAGGGUACUAUAUAGGAGCAAGUAAUUGCUUAAAUUAAUAAUGGAUUCCAACUUCAUGCUGUGUCUGAACCAAAACUAGAUGCCCCAUUCUGUUUCAUACAUAGGAAACUGCUAGUGAUGUAAAUCUGGCAGCUUAAGUUGGCAUUGUUGUAGAGGCAGCCCUUACAUCCUAAAGACAUUGUUUGUUUAUGCUGCUAGCUUAAUAUAGAAAUAGUGACAACUCGAUCAUCCACCAACUUCCCACAAGAAUCUUUUACCCUGGUUAAUUUUUUUGUUGCUUAACAUGUCCUAAAGCAGAUGUCCAACUUUAGCAGUGUCCAACGGAUACUAGAGGAAGUUGGUACGACAUCAAAUAUAUACACCAUCAAAAAAUAAUUUACGUUGCAACAUUCAAAAGAUGACUUCAUCGCGAAAACCUUCUAAUGCAUUCAAUUCUUGUAACAGAAAGCAUGUUUUAGCUACAGUAGAAAGCGCACUAAAAUCAGCUUAUUAUAUAUUAGGCCAAAUACUGAGCAGCCACUUGAAUAAAGCAAGUCAUAUAAUAGAGUAAGAAUGUAUUUAAAAGCACAAUUAACAAGUAUAUAAUUUAGGUAAUAGAAGAACCAUUCAGGCAGCAGGUGCCUCAAUCAUUUGAACAGAUCCACAAGUUCAUUAACCAAAGAACUCAAGCAACCAGAUAGACUAAAAGAAACUACUAACCAAUGGGCUCCAGAGUGGGUAGUUCUUUCAACAAUGAAUAGGUAUCCAAAGGGUUCGGACUUUGUGCUUCUGGAACCUUUGGCUCAACCUCUGAUUCUUGACUUGCAGGCUCAGAUGGUUUGAUUGUACUCUGCUUAUUGUCAGACAAAAUGGAAGCAAUGAAUCUAAAACACCAAUGCUAAUAUCGUGCCAGUACACGAAAAAUUAAUACAAAUUAAACAAAUCACAGGAAAAAAUAGAAUUAAACUAUAAAUAAUCAUAUGCAUUAUCCUUCAGAAUUAUCAUACACUGCUUAUUAUUAAAGUAUCAGAGAAGUUGCAAAUAUUGAAUCAAUAAUGAACAUUCAAUAAGUUUAUAUAAUUAAAAAUGACAAAACAAGGGAUCGUGGUUUUGCAUUGCUCAUAUUAAUCUAUCAGAUUAGAUAGAGAAGAGAGAGAGAGAGAGACAUUUUUUUUAUAUUGUGUAAUUGAUGAGGUGUGUAGAAUGCACCCAAAUGAGUGCAAUCAGAAAAGAUCAAAACCAGGUCCCAACCUGGUUCUCAACUAUUCCUGUUGAUUCAGCUGGAGAACUUCCAUGAACUCUUGCACGUUCAAUAUCUAUAAAAGAUAGUGCAGGUAUUUUAAGUUCUUAUCAUGUUCAAAUCGAAAGAAUCAACAGCAACAACAAUAACUUGAAGACAGUCUCUCAGCCAGAAACCACUCAGCUGAAGUUCAGUUUGAGGUCAUAGUUGUAGAAAGCAAGAAAAAUUGCAGAGGACCACCUACAAUACAUCAAGCAUUUAGGCUUCCCGAGAAAUUCCAUAUAUUUGCAUAUACAUAAGACAAAAGGAACUAAAACCAAUCCCUCAAGACUUCUCCAAACUACUCUGGCCCAGCCUUGGGGAUCUUUAUUUGUCAAGAUGACAAACUUUUCUAAAUCAUUUUUCAUAUUCUUAAUUCUCUUGUGCUACAAACUAAAAAUAUAUAAUUCUCAGGAAUGAAAGUUUAUAUGCAGGUUUAAACAUACAGGGUAUCCAAUGGAUGACAUACAUAUGAGACAUAGCUCAAAUGCAUUAUGCUUUAUCUGUAACUGAAUAUCAUUCACCCUAGGUUCCCAGUAUGACAGAACUAUUAUUGCGAACACAAAAGUUAUCCUAUUACGAGCAAAAUAUUAAUUAAUUAAGUGUUUUAAAACAAGUGAUAUAGCAUGUUAUUUUGGUUCACUGACUAUAGUUUUGCAUGACAAACUUUAGUUUGCAAAUGUACAAAUGAAACAUAAAAAUAUGAGAGCAACUUUAUGAAAGCACAUGUGCACAUGCAUCUUAUGAAAUCGAUGAUGGGGAGGAAAACAGAUAUCUGAAUUUUUAUAUUAGCUGGAAGCCUGGAACUAUGAAUGUAGCAAUUUGGUGAUACAUUCCUAGUUUUCAGAAAUACAUUUCAUAACUGUUUCUUCCUGAGAAACACAUAAUCUUGUCCGUAACAGGAGUACAUUGGGUCAUUGUUAGGUCCUUGACUAAAUCUAAACUAAAUAACUUGAACAAGCAAAGCAUGAAUUUUAUUAACAGCAUUUGAAGAGUAUCCUAAUCAUCUUUAUUAAUCGAAUCUUAAAAACAUAGUCAGUGGUGAAUAACUACCAUAUUCUCAAAAAAAUUCUAUUCGUCUUUAUUACAGAACAGAUUGUUUAGUGCACAACCUGAAUGCCUAGAUGGAAGUACCAGAGGCAUGGCACAUUAUGUGUAUAUGGAUUUAAUAAUCACAACCUUAAGAAACAGAUCUUUUCCUAGUUAUUCGAGGAUGGACUUUCAUAUGAUUCUUUAUCUUUCAAACAAUCAUUCUCUGAAAGUGAAGAUUAUGAAUUAGUAAGUGAAGAUUGUGAACAGAAAGUGUCUCAUUAAUUAUCAAGGGAUUUUUUUAUCGGGUGAUUAUAGGACCAUCCUGACUUUCUUUGUGGUGUAAGCAGACAAUCCUUAGUUCAAUUCUAAAAUGGGUAAGAGGAUACAAAAUUACAUUUCAUAACAUGAGCCUGGUAACAUGGGGAUGUUGGGGUCAGAGAGGUAAAACUAGAAAGGGAAGAGAAUACAAGCACGAAAGAAGUAUGGAGCAUGGGAGCAUUGACUAUUGUUUUGCCAUGAGCAACCAAAAGCUAGAAGCAGCAUCUCAGAAAAGUGUCUUGAAUCAAGGAAAAAAAGGGUCAGAAAGAAUGGAAAGCAGGCAGGAAGGAAAGGGAAGCAAAUGGAAGCAAGGAGAAGGGAUUGGAUAUAUUACUUAAUUUCUGAUUGAUUUGCCUGGAAACUGGUGUCCUGUUAUGCAAAAUGCCCAAUAAACUACAUCAUAGACCAAGGAAAUUAUGCAGAAAUAUCUGAGUUUUGUAAAAAUAAAGAGUGAAAUAUUAGAUAAUGAGAACCAGAAUGAAAGCACUAAGCAAGCAAUAUCUCGGAAACCUAAUCGUAACAAGAAAAAGUGUCUUGAUAUUAAUACUUUAAUGCACAUACAGACCAUCUUUUCUAGAGAAGGACUCAACAACUGUAGAGGUACUUUGGGAAGUUGGCAAGCAUAUAAGCUACAACUUGUACCUUAGCACAUUCUAGAUCCAGAGUUUUUUCCAACAGAAAAUAUCUCUUUCUUAUAAACUCCACCAUUCUUCUUUGCACUUCUCUGAAUUGAUACAGUGUAGAGUAGUCCGGAUAUGAUUGGCUUCCCUUUGCAACUUCUGAAGCACCCUGCAACACAGUAACAGCAAGAAACUCAGAACUAUUCCCAAUGCUAGUUUAGAGUGCCAACUAUUUGAUAUUCAAGGGAAUACUGACAUUGGCAGGACCAGAAUUUGCAUCCCCAUUGACUUGAACACCUUCAGUAAAGGAUCCAUUUAUAAUAGGAAGGUUUAAUUCUUGGCGAACAACAUCAGCAAGCCCAACAUCUUUAUCCUCUACUAUAGCUUGCCAUCUUGCAUAGCCAUGCCUUUAAUGUAAAAUACGUAAUUAGAUACCAAAAAGGAAUGAAGUAAUUUUUUUUGAAGAAACAAAAAGAAGCAAUUAAACAUCAAAGCAGCAAGCAAAAUGAACUUGAAAUUACAUGUAGAUUGUAUCCCAAUUGAUAAUCACAAAACAUAAAAAUAGGAGAUGUAAGAACAUAAUCAAUAUCAUUUUUGCUAUUCACUCAUUGAAAACUUGCAGUUUCAAUUAUUAUUUUGAAAAAAAACUAGUCACUCAUGAAACAAGUAUAAAUGGCUACCUGGACACUUGUCCAAAUCCAAGAAUCUUUCUUGGAUAUAGAUAUGUACCAGACAAUUGGAUACUUAUAAACUCUUUCAAGUUUCAACCGAUACUACUAAUGUCAGAAGUGAGCCUUCGUUCUUUUUAGAGAUCUGCAAAGGAUGUAGGUAGAAAAAUAAUUUUGCAGAAUGUCAUUUUCUUGUAUAUUAGGCUGAUUGGGAAUUUUUAAUAAGAAACAUGCAUAUUAAAAUUCCUUACAAAAUAACAUUUUAAUUUGAACUAUAUAUAUGAUUUGGUUUAUUUUUUUCUUAUAUGUCCCUCUAUGUCUUUUUUCCCUCCUCUUGCUAUGUCAUGCACUUGAAUACGUCAUGUAUGUCUGACUUUGACUCUCGUUUAUGUCCAUGGAAAGCCAAGCAUAAGCAACAACAGGACUCUACCAUGACAUUUGCACAUAUCAGUAACUAUUGACCAUUCUCAUAAGUUAUGUAUUACAAAAUGGGGUAAAAAGAAGGGAAGAGAAAGAAGAACGUGGCUGUCAAACCAUCCAAAUCUCCAGGCCCAAUCAUGCUUAAUAGAUAGGAGAUAUCAAGAGCAUAUUGUGAUUUCCUAGUUCUAUGUUUCCAUUGUUUAACAAAUAGCUCAUAUUAUCUAACAAACUAACACAUAUGUGGGGUGUCCUUCAGCUUUCAGGAAGGAGUCACCUCAAACAGUGGCAAUAAUCCAAAUAACAUAAAUCCAAAGUGACAAUUCUACAUCUCAUGUUGUUGUCGUCCAGGGAAAAAAUGCGACAGAAGGUGUCAUUAUUAUCCUAAACUGUUAAAACAAGAUAGGUGAUAAAACUGAUGUUUGGAUAAUCUUGCUCAUUCAAAAAGUUUGUAUAGGCUGCAUCCCACUACAAGUAAUGCAUAAAUCAAUACAAGUAAAUCUGGCAAACACUAUAAUCAGCAUGCCCAACUUGGAAAAUCCUCCAAUUACAAAAAAGGAAGGAAAAUCCCUCAAGAUCGGUAACUAAUAUUUAUGCCAGCACUUGAUAAAAUAUAGGUGUUUCUAGGAUAUACAGCUUAGAAAGAAAGAAGAAAGAUAGGAUUUCCGCACCCAAUGCAAUAUUAAUUGGUCUAGUAAAAUAAUGAAGAACACUUUGCUCACUUGAAUUUGAUUAACAAAUUUAUGUUAUGAGGUCCUAAAGACCAGGUGAAUCUCAACAAAAUGGUAGAAAAGCUCAGAAGUGCUAAAUUACCAAUUCACAAACGGUGAAGAUACCAAUGGGCAGUCAAAUGAACAGUAAUUUAACAACGUCAACCAUUGAGACGAUUUUCUAAGGCUAUUUGAUUAAUUCAGAUAAAAGAGAAAUGCACAAGAUUCAUUAUGUUUACUAGACAAGAUCAUUAUAAGGUAUAGACAAUGUAAAGACAUAAAUGGAAGCGACCACAUGUAUGAACCGCUAGAUAAGUUUAACAUUCAUAAUAAUGUACUGGCAUUGUUAAGACAUAUGGCUAGGGGAAGCUUCAUUGUUAUAUGUAAACUGGCCAAUAGCAGCCCCAGAGACAGCCCAAUUGAGGGUACACUAAGUAUAUGACUUAGGUAGUGGGGAACUACAAAAGAAUUGACUUGGAUAAAUGGGCUCCAGAGUGGGUAGUUCUUUCAACAAUGAAUAGGUAUCCAAAGGGUUCGGACUUUGUGCUUCUGGAACCUUUGGCUCAACCUCUGAUUCUUGACUUGCAGGCUCAGAUGGUUUGAUUGUACUCUUAGCACAUUCUAGAUCCAGAGUUUUUUCCAACAGAAAAUAUCUCUUUCUUAUAAACUCCACCAUUCUUCUUUGCACUUCUCUGAAUUGAUACAGUGUAGAGUAGUCCGGAUAUGAUUGGCUUCCCUUUGCAACUUCUGAAGCACCAUUGGCAGGACCAGAAUUUGCAUCCCCAUUGACUUGAACACCUUCAGUAAAGGAUCCAUUUAUAAUAGGAAGGUUUAAUUCUUGGCGAACAACAUCAGCAAGCCCAACAUCUUUAUCCUCUACUAUAGCUUGCCAUCUUGCAUAG
rnacentral:lncRNA from 1 species